GCUGUUAAGGGUUCGUAGUUGAAUUGAGGGCUGUCAAGGAGACGAACAAGUCCCGUCCUUCGAUUGGUGACCUUCGCUCUUGCAGUUCGUGAACAUCAGAAACAAACAUCUCGGAAAUGUUUCCCCCCACCUACGCAUGCAAUGUAUGCAGGGGGGCGUCCGUGUGUCUUACUGUGACUAAAAAGUGCGACCAAAGCAGUCGUUCGACAUGAAUUAGAAAGCAUGGGAUAACAACGAGCAACCUACGGGCUACCGUAUCGGCUUUUGUUGGUUUUAAAAGUCUGUGGGAGACUAUGGGUUCGCCGACAAGCGGUUCGGGAGCGCGUGCGCUCCCUACGCCUCCGGUUCUCCUUGCGGGUUCCGGCUUGCGACGCCCAGGAAUGAAGGAGGGUUGUUCGGGGGAGAACGUACUUGGCGUGAGAGGUGAAAUUCUUAGACCGCUCAAAGACGAACUACAGCGAAGGCAUUCUCCAGGAUACCUUCCUCAAUCAAGAACCAAAGUGUGGAGAUCGAAGAUGAUUAGAUACCAUUGUGUCC
rnacentral:rRNA from 1 species